AAAAAGUUGAGUUUGGUGAUGGCUCUGAUUGAAUGCUGUCCAAGUGCUUUGACACAUGCUAAUCGUACGUUUUAAUUUAAAAGUUAAAAAGUGGUGUACAGGUGAGUAUAAUGGUAUUCUCCGCCGGCCUUAAAGUAAAGCUAAAUUCUUUAUAUAAAAAGGAAAUUAAUUUUUCCGCUUUAAGAGGACAAUGAAUAUCUUCGGGAUAGGUAGUAGUUAAGGUGAUGGCUUAACUAGCUAACAACUCUCGUAGUCGAAACUGAAAGGUUAAUCGAUCACAUUGGGUCUGAAAAAACCCCAAUGCAUAUUAGUACAGCAGUGAGGAAUCUUGGUCAAUGGCCUAACGGCUGAACUGGCAACUUGGAGAAGUGGCAAGUCUUCCAGUAUGGGGAGCAAACAGCUAUGGGUCAAGCCCGAUAAGACUAAGGUUGCUUUAAGUAACCUUUUUAGUCGAAUAUAAAAUUAUAUUAAAUUUGAAUGAAACUUUGUUUAUGUCAUUGAUAAUGACAAUGCAUAUAUAGCGUCUUGACUAAUUGCGUGCCAGCAGUCGCGGUAAUACGUAAGAGACUAGUGUUAUUCAUCUUAAUUAGGUUUAAAGGGUACCUAAACGGUCAAAAUAUCUUGUAAAAUGUGAAUAUUUGACUAGAGUUUAUAUGUAAGAAGAUAGUACUUGAGGAGGAGAGAUAAAAUUUCGUGAUACCAAAAGGACUCGGUAAAGGCGAAGGCAGCCUUCUAUGUAAAAACUGACGUUGAGGGACGAAGGCUUAGAUAACAAACAGGAUUAGAUACCCAAGUAGUCUUUGCAGUAAAUUAUGAAUGCCAUAGGUUUGGGUUUUUCCCUUAACUAUAAAUGAAAGUGUAAGCAUUUCACCUCAAGAGUAAUGUGGCAACGCAGGAACUGAAAUCACUAGACCGUUUCUAACACCAGUAGUGAAGUAUGUUGUUUAAUUCGAUGAUCCACGAAAAACCUUACCACAACUUGAAUAUUGCAAAUAUUUGCAAAACAGGAGUUGCACGGCUGUUUUCAGUUAAUGUUGUGAAAUUAUGGUUUCCAUAAAAUUAACGAAAUCCCAGGCUUUAUUUCUAUUAGCUGUCGGCGGUUUUAAUCCGCGUUCACUACUUCAGAUUUAUAAAGUACCUUAACCCUACUGUGGUUAAUCUAAUAGGGACUAAGACAAGUCAUCAUGGCCUUGAUAUUGUGGGCUAUAGACGUGCCACAUAUACCCAAACAAAGAGUUGCGAAAAUGUGAAUUUAAGCUAAUCUCAAAAAAUAGGAUAAAAUUUUAAGGAUUGUAGCCUGUAACUCGGCUGCAUGAAUAAGAAAUUACUAGUAAUCGUGAAUCACCAUGUCACGGUGAAUAGACCUUGGAUUGGUACUAACCACUCGUCACAUGCUGAAAGGGGCAUGCGCAAUAAGUUUGCUUUCUUAGUAACAAGUAAAAAAAACAAAUAGGUUUUAUAUAUUCUUUUAUUGGGAAUCUUCGUAUGCGUGGCUCUAAUUAGUGUAAAGUCGAAAUACGGUUCGUGUAGUGGAAGUUGCACGGGAAUCAUAAAAUUU
rnacentral:rRNA from 1 species